CUCGUAAAAAAAAUUUAGAUUUUACAACCAAAUUAAGGCACCCCAAUAUAAAUAUAUAUAUUUAUUUUUCAUAUUUUUGAAAUUAAAAUUUUUUUUUAAAAAAAAAAAAAAACCACAAACUUCUCCCACCAGCAAACAAACCAACAAAACGCAAACCCCCCUUUCUUCUUCUUCUUCACCAAACUGAGCAAUUUCUUCUUCCAAAUUCAGGUGUAUUUAGAUUUGAUUUUUAGUGUGAAAAGGUUGAUUUUAUGAUGAGAUUCAAGAAGGGUACGAAAGUGGAGGUAUUGACCCAAAAGGAGAUGCCGUCGGGAUCAUGGAGGUGUGCCGAGAUAGUAGGUGGUAAUGGCCACAAUUACACUGUUAAGUAUGAAGGGGAUGUGGAGCUUUCAGGGAAUGGAAUGGUUGAAAGAGUGUCCCAGAAAGUGAUUAGGCCUUGCCCACCUUCGGUGGAUGUAUUACAGGAUUGGGUAUCUGGUGAUGUUGUUGAGGUUUUUCACAACUAUUCUUGGAAGAUGGCCAUAGUUUUGAAGGUCUUGGUACAUAAUUACCUAUUGGUUAGGCUACUUGGAUCUACCAUUGAACUCAAAGUGAGUAAGUUUGAUGUUCGGGCAAGACUUUGCUGGCAGGAUGGUGAAUGGAUUGUGAUUGGAAAGGCUUCCAACAAAUGUGAAGAUUCGAGGUUCAGGCUUCCAUCGUCUCGAAAGGGUAAUAAUCAGUUGCAGAAAGUUGAUGCUGCUGUGUGUGUACCUAUGAAGGGUUACCAUGUUGGCAUUAGGAAUCCUGAUAACAUUAAGGAAUCUCUUGUGAUUCCUUCCAGAGCUCUGAAAAGGAAGCAAUCCCAUUGCUAUUCUCAGAUUGAAGCAUAUGCAGGGCCUAAGCGGAAAAUUAGAGUGGAGAAAAGAGAGGACAUGCAGCAACAACUCGAAUUACCUGAAAAGGUAGAUGAUGUUGCUUCUUCACGAGCAAUGCUGCAUGAAAAAUGCAUGUGUCCUUCUUUAACCAACAAAGUAACUGGGUGUUCUGAGUUGAUUUUGGAGAGGGAGAAAACGGAUGGUGCUGUUGGAUGUUCACGUUCAGUUAGUUUAGAAUCAGAUGAUGAUAACAGUGUCUCAUCUUCUGUUGGUAGUUGUAGUGUCUAUGGGAAUUACUCCCAUAAAUUGCAUCGUUUUUUUGCCACAGGUCCUUGUGAAGAUAAUGACAGUCAAAAUAGUGAUGCUGAAUCUUGUAGUCAGUUGAGACCCGUUGAAGGAAAUUCUUUCCUUCCCGCAAAAGAGGAGUUGACAGAAGAAAUACAUAGGGCCAUAGCAGGGGGCUUUUCCAGAUGCAUAAAGAUGAUACUGGGAUCUGCCACCUCUGUUUUGGUGUGACUGUGCCAGUAUCUGCAUCCAAUCCCUUGCUCUAGAGGCUUAUGAUGCUAUUGAUGACUCUGUUACGCAUUGCUGGCUGCUGCAUUCUUCCAUUCUGGGCCUUGCUGGAGCCUUGAAUGCUUGUCUGCUGAAGGAUGUAAAGCCAGAAUCUUGUGUCUGCGACAAGAUUUGAUUUAAGCUGCCUUCCACCUCACGGAUUUGCGUACAAGACCUAUGUGGACAUGUGGAACUUGGGAUUCAUGCCCUGGUCUUGUCUGCUUAAAUUACUUCCCGGGGCUGUGCAAAUGAUGAUGUUGGAACUGACUAUUUUUAAGCGUAGGUCCAAGUUAUUCAAAUUUCAAAAGAACUUAUGCAGCUGAUGCGUUCUGAAAUUGUGUGAAAGCUGGCUAUGUACUUUCUUUUCUGGAAUAAACCUCUUGCAGAGUAACUGUCCCAUUUCUGAAUGGUAUGUAUUACGAGAAAGUUUCCUCUCUCGGGGAGUUUUGAGGGUAGGGUAACAGUUUGCUGUUUUGUUCUUGAUACUAGUUUGUGGGAAAGAAUUGUGACUAUUAAGGCUGUACACUGUUUUACUGGAGCAUAUCUAUUGUUUCUCUUUUUAGUUUGCAUUUUCUUGUUGAAUGCUAGAAUCAUAUAGCUUGAUUUGAUAUGAUUAGUAACUCUUCGUAUAUUGCAACUUGCUGUAUGUAACUCCAGUUACUCUUGUGCUUAGCCAGUUUGGGACCUAAUAUCGGAUUUGUCGUUUCCUGUGAUUCUAAAGGACGGUUGGGAAAGGAAAGUCCUUUUUAAUACAGCUGAACAUCAAAAUCACAGGUACAAGUGUACAGCCAAUAAUCUCAGCCUCUUAAGUUCUCAAUUUCUUUAUUUUGAAUCUUAUAUUGAUGGAUCCUUUAAGGAUGCUUCACCUGCUAAGGGUGCUGUUGUAUGUGGUAACUUUCACAUAUCAUGAUUGAUGCGCCGAAACCAUAAUUGCACAUUGUUGGCUCCAGUUAAUGAUCUCCCUUGCUCAGCUUCCAUGUGACGGUGCCCCCCUCGCCCAUAUUCUCUUAAGGGACUAAGAGAGGGACUUGGACGGAAGGGACAGUUAACAGCUGCACAGCUGCUGUUGUGCUGACGCCGUCAAGUCUGGCAUUGAAGGCGAUUCAUAUUGAGUUGUUAAGGAUGUUACUAUCUAUGGAAAGUCACGCACCCUGAACUUUUUGGUUCCCUGCAUGUUUGCCCGAAACUUGAAUCAGUAAUUUUCAUCAGCAUCGUGUGAGGGCAGGACUUUUCACAGGAUUUUGAGGGUGAUAAGCUCUACUGUCAUCAGUUAUAACAUCACUACAGUUCAAAUUAUACUAUUAACGUGACAAUUAUACACGAAGAGAGUAUAUAUACAAUCUGCAUAAGUUUAUCCCCAAGCAGAAAACAGAUCAAACUCGAACCCAAAUUGGUGUAGAUGAAAGAAGAUAUUUUAUUUCACAUCAUCUUUCUAGUUUGUAAUGAACUGCUUUUGCUGUUGUUAUUAAGUGUUAUUGCCAAAAAAUUUAUUUAUUUUUUUGAAUGGAAGUGUUAUUGCCAAUAUAGUAAGGCCAUGUACAAUUGAACAUCACUUGGUUUAAUAGCUAUAUCAUAUAAUCUCUUUAUAACUCGAUUUCUAUGACUAAAAUUUA